rnacentral:misc_RNA from 1 species
GUCCGAGGAAGUUAGCUAAUGUGAAAUAAGAGAUAGCCAGGUAGCCUAGGUAACCUAUCUAGAAACUUUCCCACGACCCGGCUCCUCUACUCAGUGACGUCGUGCGACGGAACGUGGAGGGCGGGGCAAUAACGCCGCGUGCGCCACGUCACAUCAUGCGGUGGCAUCGCUCUCUUUGCUUCGAGCUUGCGGCAGCGACGGACGUACUCUCUAGUGCUAAUAGGACGCGUACUUGUAAUUGUGUCGACAAACAUUUAGUUGAUGUAAAUGAAUAAAUCUUAGUAAAUUAAAAAAAAAAAAAAAAAA